rnacentral:rRNA from 1 species
GAUAGAGGAUGCAAGCGUUAUCCGGAAUGAUUGGGCGUAAAGCGUCUGUAGGUGGCUUUUUAAGUCCGCCGUCAAAUCCCAGGGCUCAACCCUGGACAGGCGGUGGAAACUACCAAGCUGGAGUACGGUAGGGGCAGAGGGAAUUUCCGGUGGAGCGGUGAAAUGCGUAGAGAUCGGAAAGAACACCAACGGCGGAAAGCACUCUGCUGGGCCGAACACUGACACUGGAGAAGACGAAAGCUAGGGGAGCGAA